GAGUUUGAUCAUGGCUCAGGAUGAACGCUGGCGGCGUGCCUAACACAUGCAAGUCGAACGGGCGAAUUAUAUCGGAGGUCUUCGGGCCGAAGAGAUAAUAAGCUAGUGGCGGACGGGUGCGUAACGUGUGGGUAAUCUGCCUUUGUCAUAGGAAUAACUGCUUGAAAAAGUAGCUAAUACCAAAUAACAUAUCGUAUAGGCAUCUAUAAGAUAUCAAAGAGAAAUCGGACAAAGAUGAGCCCGCAUCUGAUUAGCUGGUUGGUAGGGUAAAAGCCUACCAAGGCGACGAUCAGUAGCCGGCCUGAGAGGGUGAACGGCCACAUUGGAACUGAGACACGGUCCAAACUCCUACGGGAGGCAGCAGUGGGGAAUAUUGCACAAUGGGGGGAACCCUGAUGCAGCAACGCCGCGUGAGUGAAGAAGGCUUUCGAGUCGUAAAACUCUGUUGUAAGGGAAGAUAAUGACG
rnacentral:rRNA from 1 species